rnacentral:lncRNA from 1 species
UCCAUCAAACCUCAUCAUCUAUCAUAUGUAAGAUUUAUUCGACUUAAGUUUAUUUAUGAAACUUGAUGGAUAUUUUUUUUCUAUUAUUCAUCUUGUUCUGGCCAAGAUCUCCCGAACUCAAUCUCAUAAAUCACAUAGGACUACUCCUUAACUACUAAGAUCGAUAGAUCCCAUCUAGAUGCAUAUCCUAUUUUUAUAAUAAAUCUGCUGCAGCCAACAUAUAUCUCAAGACUCCAUAUAGCUAGG